AGAGUUUGAUCCUGGCUCAGGAUGAACGCUAGCGACAGGCUUAACACAUGCAAGUCGAGGGGCAGCAUGAUUUGUAGCAAUACAGAUUGAUGGCGACCGGCGCACGGGUGAGUAACGCGUAUGCAACUUACCUAUCAGAGGGGGAUAGCCCGGCGAAAGUCGGAUUAAUACCCCAUAAAACAGGGGUCCCGCAUGGGAAUAUUUGUUAAAGAUUCAUCGCUGAUAGAUAGGCAUGCGUUCCAUUAGGCAGUUGGCGGGGUAACGGCCCACCAAACCGACGAUGGAUAGGGGUUCUGAGAGGAAGGUCCCCCACAUUGGUACUGAGACACGGACCAAACUCCUACGGGAGGCAGCAGUGAGGAAUAUUGGUCAAUGGCCGAGAGGCUGAACCAGCCAAGUCGCGUGAAGGAAGAAGGAUCUAUGGUUUGUAAACUUCUUUUAUAGGGGAAUAAAGUGGAGGACGUGUCCUUUUUUGUAUGUACCCUAUGAAUAAGCAUCGGCUAACUCCGUGCCAGCAGCCGCGGUAAUACGGAGGAUGCGAGCGUUAUCCGGAUUUAUUGGGUUUAAAGGGUGCGUAGGCGGACCAUCAAGUCAGCGGUCAAAAGUCGGGGCUCAACCCCGUAAAGCCGUUGAAACUGGCGGUCUUGAGUGAGCGAGAAGCAGGCGGAAUGCGUGGUGUAGCGGUGAAAUGCAUAGAUAUCACGCAGAACCCCGAUUGCGAAGGCAGCCUGCUAGGGUGAAACAGACGCUGAGGCACGAAAGCGUGGGUAUCGAACAGGAUUAGAUACCCUGGUAGUCCACGCAGUAAACGAUGAAUACUAACUGUUUGCGAUACAAUGUAAGCGGUACAGCGAAAGCGUUAAGUAUUCCACCUGGGGAGUACGCCGGCAACGGUGAAACUCAAAGGAAUUGAC
rnacentral:rRNA from 1 species